AUCCUUUUGUAGUUCAUGGGCAUGAUGAUUGGGUGCUCACGUACAUGUGUGAGAUGUGCCACCCUUGAACCUUGUUACUACAUUGGCACAUUACCCGUCUGACC
ensembl:snoRNA